AUUAAAUCAUAAAAUUACAACACUUAGACUUUCCGUUGAGAAACAAGUUAAACACCCACUAAGCGGAUUUCAGGACCUACUAAUGAAGGCAUUGCCCAAGGUCACACAGCGAGCCAGAGGUGAAAGGGAAGCCAGAAGCAGAUGUCGCGGCCUCUAGUCCAUCCGGGCGCUCUCCCUGCCCUGUCCCCGGGCCGAGUCCAGUUUAGGCUGGGUGACUGCUCAUCCCAGAGAGCGCAGCCCAGGAAACAGUGGGAGGUGGAGGACGUGGAGCUUGGAUGGGGCCGGGAAUCCCCCAGGCUUGAGCGGGAUGGGCCACAGCCCUCUUUUCCCCCCACUGGUGAAACCCUGCUGAGGAAUUAAGUCAAUAUACAGAAAAUCACAGCCAAGAGCUGGAGAGAGAAAGAGAGCUCUGACAUCAUCAUUGAGCACCUGGAUCCAGCCAUACCUGAAGCCAGUGCCUCUACAGUGUUUACAUACGUUAGCUAAUAUUUCUUUUUAACUUAAGCUCAUUUGAAUUGGCUUUCUGUCUCAUUCUUUUGGUUAAAAGAAUUCUGACUCACACAGCUAGUAAAGGGCA
rnacentral:lncRNA from 1 species